CCUACGGGAGGCAGCAGUGGGGAAUCUUGCACAAUGGAGGAAACUCUGAUGCAGCGAUGCCGCGUGAGUGAAGAAGGCCCUUGGGUUGUAAAGCUCUUUCGUCGGGGAAGAAAAUGACUGUACCCGAAUAAGAAGGUCCGGCUAACUUCGUGCCAGCAGCCGCGGUAAUACGAAGGGACCUAGCGUAGUUCGGAAUUACUGGGCUUAAAGAGUUCGUAGGUGGUUGAAAAAGUUAGUGGUGAAAUCCCAGAGCUUAACUCUGGAACUGCCAUUAAAACUUUUCAGCUAGGGUAUGAUAGAGGAAAGCAGAAUUUCUAGUGUAGAGGUGAAAUUCGUAGAUAUUAGAAAGAAUACCAAUUGCGAAGGCAGCUUUCUGGAUCAUUACUGACACUGAGGAACGAAAGCAUGGGUAGCGAAGAGGAUUAGAUACCCUCGUAGUCCAUGCCGUAAACGAUGUGUGUUAGACGUUGGAAAUUUAUUUUCAGUGUCGCAGCGAAAGCGAUAAACACACCGCCUGGGGAGUACGACCGCAAGGUUAAAACUCAAAUGAAUUGACGG
rnacentral:rRNA from 1 species